GACGAACGCUGGCGGCGUGCUUAACACAUGCAAGUCGAACGGUAAGGCCCUUUCGGGGGUACACGAGUGGCGAACGGGUGAGUAACACGUGGGUGAUCUGCCCUGCACUUUGGGAUAAGCCUGGGAAACUGGGUCUAAUACCGGAUAGGACUACGCGAUGCAUGUCGUGUGGUGGAAAGCUUUUGCGGUGUGGGAUGGGCCCGCGGCCUAUCAGCUUGUUGGUGGGGUGAUGGCCUACCAAGGCGACGACGGGUAGCCGGCCUGAGAGGGUGGCCGGCCACACUGGGACUGGGAUACGGCCCAGACUCCUACGGGAGGCAGCAGUGGGGAAUAUUGCACAAUGGGCGCAAGCCUGAUGCAGCGACGCCGCGUGGGGGAUGACGGCCUUCGGGUUGUAAACCCCUUUCAGCACAGACGAAGCGUAAGUGACGGUAUGUGCAGAAGAAGCACCGGCCAACUACGUG
rnacentral:rRNA from 1 species